UACAGGGGGGGCAAGCGUUGUUCGGAAUUACUGGGCGUAAAGGGCUCGUAGGCGGCCAACUAAGUCACACGUGAAAUCCCCAGGCUUAACCUGGGAACUGCGUGUGAUACUGGAUGGCUUGAAUUCGGGAGAGGGAUGCAGAAUUCCAGGUGUAGCGGUGAAAUGCGUAGAUAUCUGGAGGAAUACCGGUGGCGAAGGCGGCAUCCUGGACCGAGAUUGACGCUGAGGCGCGAAAGCCAGGGGAGCAAACGGG
rnacentral:rRNA from 1 species